CCUACGGGUGGCAGCAGUGAGGAAUAUUGGUCAAUGGACGAGAGUCUGAACCAGCCAAGUAGCGUGAAGGAUGACUGCCCUCUGGGUUGUAAACUUCUUUUAUAAAGGAAUAAAACGAGGCACGUGUGCCUUUUUGCAUGUACUUUAUGAAUAAGGAUCGGCUAACUCCGUGCCAGCAGCCGCGGUAAUACGGAGGAUCCGAGCGUUAUCCGGAUUUAUUGGGUUUAAAGGGAGCGUAGAUGGGUUGUUAAGUCAGUUGCGAAAGUUUGCGGCUCAACCGUAAAAUUGCAAUUGAUACUGGCAGUCUUGAGUACAGUUGAGGUAGGCGGAAUUCGUGGUGUAGCGGUGAAAUGCUUAGAUAUCACGAAGAACUCCGAUUGCGAAGGCAGCUUACUAAACUGCCACUGACAUUGAUGCUCGAAAGUGUGGGUAUCAAACAGGAUUAGAUACCCCUGUAGUC
rnacentral:rRNA from 1 species